UACGUAGGUGGCAAGCGUUGUCCGGAUUUACUGGGUGUAAAGGGCGUGCAGCCGGGCCAUCAAGUCAGAUGUGAAAUCCACGGGCUCAACCCGUGAACUGCAUUUGAAACUGAAGGUCUUGAGUAUCGGAGAGGUCAUCGGAAUUCCUUGUGUAGCGGUGAAAUGCGUAGAUAUAAGGAGGAACACCAGUGGCGAAGGCGGAUGACUGGACGACAACUGACGGUGAGGCGCGAAAGCGUGGGGAGCAAAC
rnacentral:rRNA from 1 species